UAUUAUCCCCCACUUGGCCACCUGCUCAAUAUGUCGGGUGUGGGGUUUUAUCACAAAAAGGCCUCGGUGUUAGUUAAAGUGGGGUAAUUCUAUAUAAAUUGCUUGUUCUCAUUCCCUUUGUCCAAUGUGGGACAAUUGGGAUUCCAACACUCCUCCGCACGUGAGACCCCAUUUUAUGGGUCAAGUUGGGGCUCACCCGUUCUCACAGGGUCAAAGGGGACCCACAUCAGAUAGAGGGAAUGAGAACAAGCAAUUUAUAUAUUAUGUGAUAUAAAAUAGCACACAAACUUAAACCCUCUUUUUGAUAGUUGUAGUAUAUGUAAGUAGGGAUCGUUCUAGGCUGAGGAUUAGGAGGGCUGCUAAUCUACACAAAUUAAACUCUAAAUCACUAAACUAGACUCAAAAACAGAAAACAAACUUAAACUACUCAAAAUAAGCAAAACUGAUUCAAAACACACAAACUAAGUUAAAUUGACUCAAACAGGAACUAAAGGGAAGUUUGGAUGAAAAUUAAACUAAAAAGACUCAGAAUACUAAAUGGGGGGUUGUUUUGACGAAUUUAAGAUUUAAACAAACAAACUUGAAGAAACAAACUAAAGGGUACGAAAUUGAGUGAAUUAAGGGGGUGAAAGGCUAGGUAGAGGGUCCUUCUCCACACAUGCAUACAAAUCGAUUUCCAAUUAUUCUUCCUAUAAAUCAUGAAUGACAAUGCCCCAAGUUAACCGUGAACUGCACAAAUUAACCAUCAGAUUUUCCUAAAUUCAUUGAAUUGGACUUAGCGACGCAACCAAAUUAUUCUUAUCAAGUUCCCUACAUGAACUGCAUAAUAGAGAUACAUAUCAAAGAUCAUUAAGUUCUAUGAAAAUCAUAAGCAUUGACAAAGCAUUCGUAACUAUGAACUGCAUGAUACUCCUGCCAGGAAUUUACUUAACACAAUCAUGACUAGUGACUUUUACUACUUGUAAAUAUAAGAUCAUAACGAUUAGGUGAAAUUCCCUUAUAUUCUAGCAUCAAAUCCCUACAUGCAAACUAAGUAGGCCUCCUUGAUCAACAUACAAGAAUAAGUUAUCAAUCAAACAGAUAAGUAAAUUGCAUUCACGAUUUAUGAAACAAUAACUGGAUGUAAUCAAUUCAUAUCAUACAUAUGUUCAUGGCUUUGAAUUCACCUCUAGCUAAAAUGAAAUUAGUUCCACAUGUUUGCAAUUAAAUGAAACCAAUCUAAUUUAAAUAUUGAACUAAAACUAAGGAUAGAAAGAACCCAAAAACGCUCCAGCACUCUAAUGGCCUUGGAUGGCAGGUUACGGCACAAAGCUCUCUCUCCUUCCUUCCUUGCAAAGCUGCGGCACUAUGUAUAUUUUUUAUCUCUGAAUUUCUCUCUAAAAGCUCUCUCUGAAUUCUACGGUAAGGGUGU
rnacentral:lncRNA from 1 species